UCGGCGCUAUUUAUAUUAGCGAGCCCGCAAAAAAUUCAUUCAUCGUGAAAUUAGAGCCAAUCAAAGUCUAGAAGUUUCCUUGAGCGGGAACGUCAUGAUUGAUAUAAUGUUUCAACAGCCUGAAUGGUGCGAAGACGUUACUUUUUUGGCAUUUAUGUCUUUCACAGCUAUCUACAUUGAAGCUUGAGGUGAGAACAAUUCAUAGAAGCUUUUGAGUCUAAACAAGGACUCUAGAAAACUGUACUUGAUAAAAAGAAUUGCUGUACACGUGUAAUAGAUCUACUAAAAUUGAAAUUGUCAAGUACAA